ACGAAACGCACAUAUAGAUUUAUACCUACAUAGCUAGCUAUAGUAAACAGAUGUAUAGCAUAUAUGUUAGUAUCUGUAAGUAGCUAUAGAUUAAGUUCAGUUACCUCAUUACCGCGGUCGCAUUAACUUCUCAUGUACUUAGCCUAGCCAAAUUAAAUAAUUAUUUGAAUACAGUCCACUUAAAACGAAUUUAUAUGUGAGUUUAAUUUACCAGCCCCUCACAUAAUGGUCCUUCGAGCCGUUAAUAAAGGGCUGGCUAAGGACGUUUAAAAGUGGUGCCGUCGUGUGUGUAACUCAACGUUUAAACCGCCAUAUUGGGACAUUUAAGUUAACGCGUAGUUAACGUGUGCUUUAACCCGUUGACUUCUUCGAGUUGCGUCAAAGCGUGUGUCGUGUCAUCGCGUCGUGUGCUGUUUCUAUAAAACGGCUGUCUUCGUGGACGUUGGUCAGGAGGACUGUUACCACUUCUAUAAGGUGCUGCAGAACUCUCAGGCUGUUGGUGCGUGCUACUGCUAUACAGUGCUUCAUCUAUACGGACCUUCACAGUCUCUGUCCCGGGACAUUGGUGUUGCCGGUGCUAUUCGCUGGAACAUUAAGUGCGACAAGGACGUUUAUAUAGGUUACCUAAGUAUAACCUACCGAAGAACUGUGGUCGGAAUUAUAAAUCAAUCGCGCGUAGUGUUUGAUUUCGCAUGCUCAAUUAGCAUUGUGGACAUUGUGAAGUGCACCUAGUGUAGCACAUUCAUCUAUAUAAUCAUUAAAUUAAAAUACCAAAAGUACAAGGCGUUGCACAUAAAUACGUAUUAUAGCGGUUGGCGUUGACGCAGUUUCCGUCUCCUGCUGGUCGUGAGGCUUCGGAAUCGUUCGUUCAUGCACUUCGUGUUGCUUCGUGGACACUCGCCGCGCCGCAUCGUAGUCUCUCAUUGGCUAGCGGAACCAACUUCAAUACGUGUUUCCGAGUUUCGUCUGGCUACCUAGUUAUUAUUCCGAGUUUCGUGCAAGUUUCGUGUGCCAUCCAUUGCUCAGUGGUGCCAUCUGCACCAUAGACUAGAAUAAGCUGCUGCCGAAUCUGCGCCAUUUGUAUUUUAUUUUGUAACCUCGUUGUGUCGUGGGCGCAACAAGUAUUUUUUUGUAAAGUGAUUCGUGAUUAAUCACUACAAUUAUUACUAUUUAAUAGUUUUAUUAGUAAAAAGUUCAUAAUAGAACAAGACUUAAAAAGGCUGAUAGCUGCGAGAGGCCAGUUAAAAGGCACAAUUACAAGAUUGUAUAAUUUCAUUAGUAAUGAAACCGAGUUUAAUAAAGAUUCACAAAAUUGCGAGGAUUUCGAGCGCAUCGAAAAUCAAUACUUUGCAAUAAUGGCUGCCAUUAAUGAAAAAUUGACUCCCAAAACAAAUUGUGAGGUUGGUAAACCAUCUACCAGCAGCAGCAACCUGACUAAGUUGCCCAGGAUAGAAAUACCGAGGUUCAGCGGACAGAGCAACGUGCAACCAUUCUUGAGACCGUGGCUGAGGCUGGCCAUAGCCAUGCUCACCCUACCCGAGUAGUGAACAAGAGCCACGGAGCGAGCCUCGUGACCACCACAGGAAGUACCACCAGCUCCAGCACAAGAUGCUGCGACUUCUGUAAGUCUAAAUAUCACAAGUUGUAUCAAUGUCAAAAGUUUCAAUUAGCUUUGCCAACUGAACGUGUGCUGUUUAUUCAAAAUAAUAAGUUGUGUUCACUUUGCUUAAAUCAGCAUAACAAUAGAAAGUGUUUCCUUGCAUUCAAGUGUAGCAUAUGUAAGGAGCGUCAUAAUACGUUAUUACACGUAGAUAAUGUACCAGAAAUACCUAAGCAGGUAUCGGUAUCAAUGGGCCAAUAUGGCAAUAUAUUACUACCAACUAUUAAGGUAGGUUUAGUAGAUAAGCUUGGAAAUACGAUUUAUGCCAAGGCUUUAUGUGACUCAGGUAGUCAAAUAUCAUUCAUUUCAUCAGAUUUAGCUGAUCAAAUUAGUUGUGAAUUAAAAGAUGAGCAAACUAUAAUUAGUGGCAUAUGUCAAGGGAAAA